GCCGCUUCUACAGUAUCUCACGUAUCUCUUAUUUCCUGCAGUCUACCCGUGUAGGAGUUUCUCAGUCAGAGGAACAGAGUUUGUACUCUCCUUGGAAGACAGGAAGGACAGAGACAGACGUUGAUGGAUAGCUUUCCAGAUACAGGUAUAGAUCUCUCAAACUACUUCUCCAGCAUUGUAUCCAUCUGCAUGCUGCCAUGCUUCCUGCCAUGACGAAAACGGACUAAACUUCUGCAAGGAAAUGUACAAAAUGUAGUCUGAGGAGAAAAGAAGCACCAAGACCUGUUAAAAAGUUGGAGAGGUUGCUGCAGCAACACCCAAUAGUGGUAAACUAUACCGAAAACUCUGUGCUCCAUUUCCUGUCCCACAACUUUGCCUGCUUUGCUGGAGGCCUGCUGGAACCAGAGACAACCAGGUAGAAAGCCUCUUCGGGACCCUGAAUAACUGGGUCCCCGCUGGCGGGGACAAGUGGCGCCUGAACACAGGGACCCCGAAGCAAGGCUGACUACAGGACGAUGGAGAUAAGAGAGCUGCAGCGGGAAUCAAGGACUCUUCAGGCCGCAUCGCUCGUGUGUCGCUGGAGAGGGAGGUAAGGACCGGUCGAAUAAUUGUCGUCUAAUUGCCAUGGGGAAGGUAUGGAUUUAGGAGGCUUGUUUCAUAGGAGAGAUCAAGCGCUCACUCAGGGAGAGAGGAUUAAGAGUUAAGAAAAAGGAUUUAAUCAAGUUUUUUUGUUUUAAAGGUGUCCCUGGUUAAUUUUAAGCAGUGUGGGGCUAGCUUAAGUAAAACUUGUAAUAAAAAAGGGACAAGGUAAUGGUAAAGUGUUUUUGCAUAUGCGUUCUUUUAGAGUUAUAUUUUAGUCUUUGGAUCCUGACUAGAGAUAGUUUACACCCUAGACAUGAGAGAGAAUGGGUUUGGGAAAAAACAGUCCUCCCGGACUCUCCACGGAUGCUUUGGAGAAAGAGAAAAACUUUUCAGGGCUCUCCUGGGAACAGAAGAAAGGCAGGAGAUGUCCUGCCUCUCUGCUGGCUCCUAUUGGAGAAAUGCUUAUUUCUAGUUCUGGGUUCCAUAGGUAGGAUAUGUGGGUCCCUAUCGUGGGACACCAUUUAGUUUUUUCCCUCUAUGUCUAUUGUGUGUCCUUGGUGCACCAAGCUAUCCAUGUCUGUCAGUUUAUGUCUGUGGUCUUUGUUUCUCGUUGUUUAAAUGUUUUAUGUUUCGUGUUCAAAAGAAAAAAUUAUAAAAACUUUAUCUGCCAGUCGUUCACACCUUGACUUGGUUUUAACUCGUUUCAAGAAGGGAACAAUGCAUAAAAAACAGUUUCAAUUGGCUUUUGGAGCCUACAUCUGUAGCUAGAAGCCUAAGUCUGCUGGACAAGCUCCCCAGGGGCUGGCUAAGUGUUUAUACUAGCUGAUCCUAAAGACACCAGGAGCUUCACAGCUUAAAAGGUGGAACAUUGGUAACAGAAAGUUGGCUUAAAACUGUAAUUUGGAUAUGAGCCAACCUAGGGAAACAGGUCCAAAUUGAGGUAAUAUUUUUAUGGAAUUCUUAUUCUAGAAACCAGGCUUCUAAAAGAUUUUAGGGCAGUGUCUCUUUGUUGAGGUAUUGGAGACCGCACCAUCGUGCGUUCACAUAUAGGAAUUGGCAAUCAUAGCCAAAGGUGUGGUUUGCCCUAAAGUUACUGUAUUUUGAUGCUAAUUCCACUGUCCCAAGAACAGCUGCCUAGUCACAUACUCAGAACUCAGGUGACUUUCCAAAGUUGUGGCUGUGCUCUGGUGUUACAAAGAGAUCUUAAAGAUUGUGAUUAAAGAUUGUCAGUGUUACAUUGACUAACUCAAACUUAUUUAUAAUUAAGAAAAAAAUCAAACAGGUAGAGAUUGUUACAGGAUUUAAAAAGGAUUGAUGAGGUUUUAAAACUUGUGAGAGCAUUACAGCUUGUUUGCUUAUCCAACUGCCAUUUCAAGAUAGAUUUAGAGGAUUGUUUUUAUGCAGUUUGUUUACAUCCUGGCGAUUGUGAGUUUUUAUUUUGUGAGCUUGCUUAUAAUUUUAGAGAGCCCAUGAAGUGAUAUCAUUAAAAAUUUUUUACAAAAGAGUGGCUACUAGCCUUAUAUUAUGUAAUUUUGUUGCUUCUUCAAUGUAAGAAGUUAGAACUUUGAAUCUUUCAGUGUAUAUGGAAAUUUUUACUACAAACCUUUGCUCUCAAAAUGAGCUUUAACAUUUGGGGAGUAACUAUUGCUCCAGAGAAGAUUCAAUAUUCAUUUUUAAUAUUUAAAACUAAUUUUAAGCUUCUAAGGAUAUGUUAAUUGCCAAAGUACCUCACCUUACCAGAGGACUUAGGUCUUUGUUUGUUAUCCUCAUUGGAGAUAAAGCUUCAGUUGUUUUAAUACAGAAUUGUAGGCUAGAGUCAUGGAAGUAUUUUAAAAAGCCAAACAACAGUUAAUUGGUUAUUACAAAAUACUGAUAUUUGGCCUAUUACAUAUACAAAUUUUUCAGGCAAAAUUGAUAAUUUUACUCUUUACAUGUUUUUGUAUUUCCUGUAUAUUUGUGCAUACAACCCAUAGGAAAUGCGCUUACUGUAUUUAUAGGUGGUUCAUCUAAUGAACAUGUAUGAUUGGAUCACUUGUUUAUUCUCUUGAGUUUCUGCUGUUUCAGCACAGAUUAUUAAAUUCCUGGCUUUAGCCACUGUUUUUAUAAUGUUAAAAAAAAACAAGCUUUCAAUUCAUAUACUGAUAGCCAAUGUGCUGCUUGUGGUUUACAAUUGAUUUCAAUUACUUAAUGCUUUAUUAAAGGCAGGUUUUCUACAUAAAAUCAGUGAGUGAUUUCAGUGUGACUGUCUGACAACUCACUGUCCUUUCAGUGCUCUGGCUCAGACAACUAAACAAAACCAUAGACCCAGCUCUUUGAAAAUGAUAAUGGAGUUGAUAACACUCCCUCACAAAUAGAGGAAGACUCCAUUUGCUUACUUUCAACUCCCAGCCUCACCUUGCCGGCUCAGGGAUUUCUAGUACAGUAUUUAUAGGAUUUGGCAUCUCUAAUUAAUGCUUAUGUUUAGGUAAAUAAAGCUGGUAAGGGGCUGGAGAGAUGGCUUAGUGGUUAAGAGCACUAAGUACUGUUCCUUUAUAGGCCAUUUAAGAACUCAAACUGGAUUGCCUGGACACCUUACUUAGCAAGGGAGGACAAUGAUACCAGGCAGAUUAUAGGCCUUAUAUAGAACCAGUUAGUCAAAAAAUCUCAUUCUUUAUAUAUCCAAAACAAUAAUGCUAGAGACAAUAAUUUGGUAUAAAAGUAAAUUUAUAAAUACAAGUGCUCAGUGUCCUCAAUUUAAUCCUUAAGGACUUAUCUUAAUAAAUAAUAUUUUAACAACAUUUUAAUAAAUAAAAAGGGGAGUUAUCCCUGUAUGCUAAAAUAUGCUCCUUUUAUUUCAAUUUUAAAAUUUGGAUGCCAAUGAACACUCUGAGUUUAUGGCACCCUACAGCUAGGCAUACUUCUGCCUAGGUGAAAUAGAAAGAUCCACAUAUUGGCAUGAUCCUGUUCAGAUAUUUUAUAUGGGGAAGAGGGAAUCUUUGUGUUUUUUCUACAGGAUGCUACAGGAGUGUGCCAGCUGCCCGAGUGGCUGGUGAGACUUGCUGAUCCUGGGAGCAUGAAGAUUCAGCUCUCCUGGUUCGGGUCCCUGGAGUCAUUCCUGUGUCCUUGGAGGAAUAUGGAGGGUUCCCACUCAUCUUUUGUCAUCACAGAAAUUCUGGCGUUGCUGCAGUCAUUGUGUCCCAUCCCACCACGGCCUGCGCUCCGACCCUCUGUGCACUGUUGCUUGGUGGAAGCUGCUGUGGACUGGGGAACUCUGCCCUGUUUUGCAGAUCUCAGACAUGGUCCCAUUGCCUGCUGGUUGUUCCAGAGAAGAAUGACCGAUCCUGAACUGUCCUGGGAAAGACCUUGGCAUUUUCGCUGCUAUUGUAGCAGCCAUUACUGCUGCAGCCAUUGUGUCUGCAGUGUCUGGAGUUACCCUCCCCCAAUCUAUUGUUAGGCAAGCACAGUGGGUGAACUUUCUGGAGUAGUUGCUAACAAUUGGGAAUUCUAAAUUUUAAUACAGGAGAGGCUUGACUAGGUCCUUGGUGGUAUGGCCAUAGCAGCUGAGGAGAACCAGAUGAGGUGCCCACUACUUAUUGGGAGAGGCUCAAUUUCCACAAUCUCUUAUAUUAAUGCCAUCUGGCUCCUGCUCCUUCGCCCCUGGGCUCAAGUAAGAGGAAUGAGAAGAUGAUCCAAUGUAGCUUUCCUCGGUGACGGGCAACUUCCUCUGACCCUUGACCAAUCUAGACAUGGAGCCUUGAGGGCGACAAGGUGGUCCUAUGACAGAUAAGGCUGGGGUUUGAGAGGUCGAUCCUAAGACAGAGGUGGCUACACCCCGUUUAAACGUGCGGGCCGGUCAAAUGCUCCUCUGCCCAGUUUCUCCCCCAAUAACACACAUGUAUAGCCCAGAACGGUGUGUUACAGCAUAAGUUCAUUCCUAGCCAUUGGGGUGCAGUCCUAACUGCAAGAGUGGCUUGCCAUGGCCGAGCUGGGCACUCUGUGAGGCAUGUCUGAUCUCUCUCAGACCACAACUUCCACCUAAUGGUUUUUUUAAUAAAAGAAAAAUGGGGGAGUUGCAUGGAGCCAUAUUGGAUUUGGGCCUAGCCGCUUUUUGACUGCAUGGUUCAAAGUGACUCUGGGCUGUUUGGCCACAGAGACUCACCCCGAAGAUGACUGCCAUAAAUCUUAAGAUUGUUGGAUAAAGCCUCUCCCAUGAAUUUACGGCACAGGAGUAUAACAUUCAAGGGAUGCCUCAGCUCCCUUCAGCAGAUACCUUCCCUCAGCAGAUACCAGUUAUCUCCUCAGUCAACACCCAGUGUCUCCACCACCUGACCUCAUCGCCUGACUUCUUUGCCUCCAGCUAUCACUGCCUAUACCCUCAUCUCCCCCUCCUUCAUAUUUCACAAAGGUCACUCCCCCUACCUGAAAGCCUUAAAAGCUGCAAUGUUCAUCCCAAUAAACGAGACCUUGACAACAGAA